rnacentral:rRNA from 1 species
GAUGAACGCUGGCGGCGUGCCUAAUACAUGCCAGUCGAGCGAACAGACGAGGAGCUUGCUCCUCUGACGUUAGCGGCGGACGGGUGAGUAACACGUGGAUAACCUACCUAUAAGACUGGGAUAACUUCGGGAAACCGGAGCUAAUACCGGAUAAUAUAUUGAACCGCAUGGUUCAAUAGUGAAAGACGGUUUUGCUGUCACUUAUAGAUGGAUCCGCGCCGCAUUAGCUAGUUGGUAAGGUAACGGCUUACCAAGGCAACGAUGCCUAGCCGACCUGAGAGGGUGAUCGGCCACACUGGAACUGAGACACGGUCCAGACUCCUACGGGAGGCAGCAGUAGGGAAUCUUCCGCAAUGGGCGAAAGCCUGACGGAGCAACGCCGCGUGAGUGAUGAAGGUCUUCGGAUCGUAAAACUCUGUUAUUAGGGAAGAACAAAUGUGUAAGUAACUAUGCACGUCUUGACGGUACCUAAUCAGAAAGCCACGGCUAACUACGUG